UUCAGAGCGAAGUCCCACCCCUGCUCAGUAACACGAUUUCAGAGGAGCACAGCGGCUGGAGCAGGCCCCGCAUCCCGACGCCGUCGCUUCCCCUCCGCCCACCAGCACUGCCUGGAGCCGACCGGCCCGGGACCCCGUAGCGGCUCGGCCCUGCCCCCCGCGCAGAUGGCUCCGCCGCCACAUGGGAGAUGCCGGCCGGGAAAUCUGUCGCCGUCGGCACAAGACAAAACCGCCGGUCGGCGAUGAAAGGAGCGGGGAGCGGCCCCACAGAGCCCCCUCCGGAACAAUGGCGGUCCCUCAGGAGCCCGCGGCCGAGCGCCGACAAAGGCUGUGGCUGCCCCCGGGCCGCAGCUGCCCGGUCCUGCAGAAGCUGCAGAAGUUCAGGACGCUGAACUUGUCGUGUGCUGAGGAGCCAGCCGAGCAGCACAGGUCAUUAGUCACCCAGUUGCAGGCUGAGUGUUGGUGAUGUCUGCUUCAUCCUGGAACUUAGGAGAAAAGCUGGCAGGGAGAACCACGCUGAGGCAUUCUGGACUGCAGCCCCAAUGUACCUUCCCAUUCUGCCACGGAUCUUUGGUCAGAAAAGGCUGUUUUCAGGUUGUGCUGCCAUCACAACAGCCAUAGGAAUGUAGAAUCACAGAAUCACCAAGGUUGGAAAAGACCUCCAGUCCAACCAACCACCCACUGCCAAUGUUUCCCUGCUCAAGCAUGUCCCUUAGUGCACCACCUAAACAUUAAACCAGUUAAAGAUGUGCUGCAGUGAGCAUGAGUGGUUGAAAGCACUGAAUCCAUCAUACUGCUGCUGCUCACCCUACACAUUCAGGCAGCUCUCACUGGAGCUUUCAGGUGCGUUUUAUCAGAAUACAUAUGUAACAAGGUGAUAUUACACACUCACUGACUCAUUUUUACUUUCCCUCAGAUGUGCCAACUGUUAAAUAUAACGUUCUCAUUGGCUUGUAUUACCACAGAAUUAAAUAAUAAUUGUAGCAGUACAAACCAGACCUCAACCUACCAGAAAAUUCAUGCUUUGGGCUAACGUGGUUUCUGUGACAAGCUUUUAUUCACAACACUGUGAUGUAAGGGCGAAGUGUCAAUAUCGUCUUUGAAUAUUUGAUUGAUUUGGCUGGCCAGACACUUACAGCUAUUUAAACACUGUUUUGUAUAUUUAAUUAUAUCAUACAUGAUGUCAUUUUUCACUACAGACGCCUUUGACUUUUAUUUCAGCCAGUAAUUACUAAACAGUAAUUAAGCUUUCACAACUGUAAGUGCUUGUCACGAUCCCUGUAUCCUGCUGAGCAGGUGACAGCAGGAGCAGCAAAGUUUAUGUUUCACAUAUUUAUUUGCUUUCAGAUAUUCAGAUUUAUUUACUUUCAGCUUAUAUAUCAGUAAUUUUUCUGUAUACAGAGGAAGGACUGGGGCCAAAACAUCACAUUAAAGAGUCUCUGCAUUCCCUUACAGAGAUUAACGGGAAUAAAGAAUGGAUUAACUGUGUUAGAAAUCA
rnacentral:lncRNA from 1 species